rnacentral:snoRNA from 1 species
UCUGGCAAUGAUGGCACACUUGCCCUCGCUGAGAACACUGUUCAAUAAUGAGCCUCGCCAUGUGUUCAGAUGAGCUGAGCCAGA